rnacentral:rRNA from 1 species
CCUACGGGUGGCUGCAGUGAGGAAUAUUGGUCAAUGUGCGCGAGCCUGAACCAGCCAAGUAGCGUGAAGGAUGACUGCCCUACGGGUUGUAACUUCUUUUAUAAAGGAAUAAAGUGAGUCACGUGUGCCUUUUUGUAUGUACUUUAUGAAUUAGGAUCAGCUAACUCCGUUCCAGCAGCCGCGGUAAUACGGAGGAGACGAGCGUUAUACGGAUUUAUUGGGUUUAAAGGGAGCGUAGAUGGGUUGUUAAGUCAGUUGUGAAAGUUUGCGGCUCAACCGUAAAAUUGCAAUUGAUACUGGCAGCCUUGAGUACAGUUGAGGGAGGCGGAAUGCGUGGUGUAGCGGUGAAAUGCUUAGAGAUCACGAAGAACCCCGAUUGCGAAGGCAGCCUACUAAGCUGCCACUGACAUUGAUGCUCGAAAGUGUGGGUAUCAAACAGGAUUAGAUACCCGGGUAGUC